GCCUAAAGCGUCCGUAGCCUGUUCUAUAAGUUUCCGGUUAAAUCCAUUAGCUCAACUAAUGGGCUGCCGAAAAUACUGUAGAACUAGGGAGUGGGAGAGGUAGACGGUAUUCAGUAGGAAGGGGUAAAAUCCUUUGAUCUAUUGAGGACCACCUGUGGCGAAGGCGGUCUACCAGAACACGUUCGACGGCGAGGGAUGAAAGCUGGGGGAGCAAACCGGAUUAGAUACCCGGGUAGUCCCAGCUGUAAACGAUGCAGACUCGGUGAUGCCCUGGCUUGUGGCCAGUGCAGUGCCGCAGGGAAGCCGUUAAGUUUGCCGCCUGGGAAGUACGUACGCAAGUAUGAAACUUAAAGGAAUUGGCGGGGGAGCACCACAAGGGGUGAAGCCUGCGGUUCAAUUGGAGUCAACGCCAGAAAUCUUACCCGAAGAGACAGCAGAAUGAAGGUCAAGCUGGAGACUUUACCAGACAAGCUGAGAAGUGGUGCAUGGCCGUCGCCAGCUCGUGCCGUGAGAUGUCCUGUUAAGUCAGGUAACGAGCGAGAUCCCUGCCUCUAGUUGCCACCAUUACUCUCAGGAGUAGUGGGGCGAAUUAGCGGGACCGCCGCAGUUAAUGCGGAGGAAGGAAGGGGCCACGGCAGGUCAGUAUGCCCCGAA
rnacentral:rRNA from 1 species